AGCAGUAUGGUGUAUUGUGCACGCGGGGUACUAUUGUGCCCUUCCGAGAGGUGAACCCCGAGGUCCUUGUUCGAACCAAGGUGCUGUUC